rnacentral:sRNA from 1 species
GGAUGUGAGGGUGACCUGGCUGCGCUAUCUGUCACCCCACUGAUCGCCAGGGUUGAUGCAGCUGAUCGGGCUGGCUGGGUGGGUGUCCCCUUCCUCCCUACUGCUCCACGCGUGUCUCUCCUGAAGCGCAUGCUCUGUUGAAGAGGACGACCACCCCGAUAGAAAACCAUUACCUUGGGGCUGGGGAUUUAGCUCAGCGGCACAGCGCCUGCCU